UAGUGCAAAAGGGGCAGACAUCACAAAAGGUUACAUCAAAGUUAUUUUAGGUGGCAAUAGAUAGAAGAAUGAGAAAGGAAGAUUGAGAUAAGGAAAAUAAAGUAAAUGUGUGAAUGUGAUAGUUUCCUUUAAAAUGUGGAAAGGGGGAAUUUUCUAUUAGCUUGAGGCGUAAAACUCUUGGAUUCGUCAUUGAUUAGAGAACAAUUUUUUUUAUUACAAUAACAAUUAAUUUAUUCUAAU